AGAGUUUGAUCCUGGCUCAGGAUGAACGCUGGCGGCGUGCCUAACACAUGCAAGUCGAGCGAGAUGUAUAUGGACGAAACUUCGGUCUAGGAAAUAUAUUGACAGCGGCGGACGGGUGAGUAACGCGUAGGCAACCUGCCCUUAACACAGGGAUAGCCUCGGGAAACCGGGAUUAAAACCUGAUAAUGCCAAAUAGUCACAUGGCUGUUUGGCCAAAGAUUUAUCGGUAUGGGAUGGGCCCGCGUCUGAUUAGCUAGUUGGUGAGGUAACGGCUCACCAAGGCGACGAUCAGUAACCGACCUGAGAGGGCGGACGGUCACACUGGAACUGAGACACGGUCCAGACUCCUACGGGAGGCAGCAGUGGGGAAUAUUGCACAAUGGGCGCAAGCCUGAUGCAGCAACGCCGCGUGAGUGAAGAAGGCCUUCGGGUCGUAAAGCUCUGUCCUGUGGGACGAAACAAAUGACGGUACCACAGGAGGAAGCCCCGGCUAACUACGUGCCAGCAGCCGCGGUAAUACGUAGGGGGCAAGCGUUAUCCGGAAUCACUGGGCGUAAAGGGUGCGUAGGUGGCCUAUCAAGUCAGGAGUGAAAGGCAGUGGCUUAACCACUGUAAGCUCUUGAAACUGAUGGGCUUGAGUGCAGGAGAGGUAAGUGGAAUUCCUAGUGUAGCGGUGAAAUGCGUAGAUAUUAGGAGGAACACCAGUGGCGAAGGCGACUUACUGGACUGUUACUGACACUGAGGCACGAAAGCGUGGGGAGCAAACAGGAUUAGAUACCCUGGUAGUCC
rnacentral:rRNA from 1 species